UACGUAGGUGGCAAGCGUUGUCCGGAAUUAUUGGGCGUAAAGCGCGCGCAGGCGGUUUCUUAAGUCUGAUGUGAAAGCCCACGGCUCAACCGUGGAGGGUCAUUGGAAACUGGGAAACUUGAGUGCAGAAGAGAAGAGCGGAAUUCCACGUGUAGCGGUGAAAUGCGUAGAGAUGUGGAGGAACACCAGUGGCGAAGGCGGCCAUCUGGACGACUACUGACGCUGAGACGCGAAAGCGUGGGGAGCAAACAGG
rnacentral:rRNA from 1 species